CCUACGGGAGGCAGCAGUGAGGAAUAUUGGUCAAUGGACGAGAGUCUGAACCAGCCAAGUAGCGUGAAGGAUGACUGCCCUCUGGGUUGUAAACUUCUUUUAUAUGGGAAUAAAAUGUUCCACGUGUGGGAUUUUGUAUGUACCAUAUGAAUAAGGAUCGGCUAACUCCGUGCCAGCAGCCGCGGUAAUACGGAGGAUCCGAGCGUUAUCCGGAUUUAUUGGGUUUCAAGGGAGCGUAGGUGGAUUGUUAAGUCAGUUGUGAAAGUUUGCGGCUCAACCGUAAAAUUGCAGUUGAUACUGGCAGUCUUGAGUACAGUAGAGGUGGGCGGAAGUCGGGGUGUAGCGGUGAAAUGCUUAGAUAUCACGAAGAACUCCGAUUGCGAAGGCAGUUCACUGGACUGCAACUGACACUGAGGCACGAAAGUGUGGGUAUCAAACAGGAUUAGAUACCCGGGUAGUC
rnacentral:rRNA from 1 species